UUUUAAGGCGUUUCUAUAUUUGGGGGAAGGGCACACUUGGGUCAGCUUGAUACACUUUCAGUGGCACGACAGCCGGUCACAGUCACUUUUUACCACAUUUCCUGGAUGUACUGGUGCGACGCAACAAGCGCUCCUUGACAUGACAGACGGCGGGAGAGAGCGAGCAGACAGACUCGCGUCAUUGCAGCCCAAGUGUCUACUUGGACCCGACAAGUAAGUCCUACUUAAUACCUUUUUGCAAUCAAUUCUCAAAAUUAGCAUAUUAUCUUAUCCGUCAAAAUUGCUUCUUUUUUUUUUGGUGUUAAACAAAACAAAAACAGGUUAAAAAGCAAAACAGCUCGCAACUUCCGAUGUGAACAAAUGAAUAAGACAAGGGAAGUAACAGGAUCACAUUAAGGUGGAUGGAUACAUGUUGAAGAAAUGGCUUUAAUAUAUAUAUAUAUAUAUAUAUAUAUAUAUAUAUACUGUAUUUCUUGAAUUUCAUUGCUCAUUCCAUAUGAAGCAUUGCUAAUAUAGAUUAAAAGUGAAUCAUAAUGAAUCCACAGCAGCCCUGUGAUUAAUCUAAACGUUUGUUUCUGUACUUCGCACCUGAUUAUCAGGUUUGGGUAGAGAUAGCAUAGACUCAUGCUUUACAUUUAUGAAAAAGUGUUUCAAAGCAACCUCAGUUCACGUAUUUUGUCUUAAGAGUGAAACUGUGACUUUUGUAGGUCUUAGCUUUGCAGCUAGCUUGCCCCCUCCACCAAGUAUGAAAGGGGGCUGAGAAUCAAACUUGUUUUGGCUUGUUGACAAUCAUAGCUUUUUGAGUGCACCACCACACACUUGAAGCAAGACGGUAGCCGCCUUGGCCCUCAAUAGACCAGGAGAACCAUGUCUGCCAGAUCUUUCAGCUGUAACUCCAAACAUUUUCAUGAAAUGUAAAAUAUAUAGAACCAACAAACUGUUAACGUCCUAACGUUUUUUUCCUUCUGUUUUUAGUUGGAAGAUUUGUGACGGCCCUCAGAUGACGCACUGAAAAAAGCGAAACACGACCGCAGAAGUAGAAAGUGCACCUUGACAGUACCCAGGCCAGAGACCACCGGGGCCCAUGUGACCCUGAGUCAGCCUAUGAGUCAGAUUCAUCGGAUAAACCAAUGUCCACACGGGCCACAGACAAGCAGACACGUCCGAGAAGAAUGCAAGGGCGACGGCCUGGCAAGAGGAAGACGUGGGAUGAGGAGGUUUCUGCUGUGGAAAGACACAUGAUGUCCUUUAUCACAACAUGCCGGGUACCUGGUAAAGCUGAUUGUGAUAACUGUUUGGACUUGGAGACAACAGCUCUUCGAAACAGGAAUUGGCUUGACAUUGAAUCUUAUGUCAAAAAUGGCAUUACAGCUUUGAGAAAAGGAGGUUUGAAGCGGUAGUUGGCAAUGAAAUGUUUUGUUUUUAUUGAGCCCACAUCUCUACAUAGAAGAACAAGAAUGUGUUUCCACUUAUAAUUUUGAGUCAGUUUCAUUUAAAUGAUUGGUUCACAUUGUAAUGUUAAUGUUUUAAAAAAACUGCUUGAGUUUACAAAACAAUGUUUUGAUAUAAUUUAUUUUUCUUGCAUGAUAGCAGGGCUGUCCAACUAUUAAAAAUAGAUCUUGAUUUGCAAUGUCUGUCUGUCACUUAAGACGGCUCGUUGUGAUUGAAAGCUUAGACAUGGCAUCAUGGGAACUGACUGAGAGAGUUAUGUGUUGCAACUUAGUCUAACAGACUUAAAGAAUACGAGAUGAGACUUUGCACUUAAAAUCGCGCAUUUUUGUGUCUUAUCAAUUCAACUCACAUAUUCAAAUUCAUAUAAAGUAUGAAUAUUUACCUUAGUACUCUCUUUCAGUGACUAUUAUCUUAUCUUAUUUGCAUACCUGCCAACUACUCCGGUUUUCCCGUAAUUAGUACGGUUUUCAUCAACCUAUUCCGGGUUACGGUUGCAGUGAUAAAAAAUACGGUUUUUCAUUAAUUAAAAAAAAAAAAUUUUUUUAAGUUUUAUUCACGAAAUCGCGUAACAACAAUGACAAUCGACACUGCUUCCCGUAACUUCCUAUCGAGCCAUUCCGAAUGCCUUGCGCGAGGCUAUUUAUAGCACCGCUGCCAAGCACGAGGCACCAGUUGCCAUUGUUUCCAAACGAGCGAACGAUCAUGGAAUCAGCCGGAGAAAAAUCGCAAACGAGUCUUAAACCGAAAAGAAA